UACGGAGGGUGCGAGCGUUAAUCGGAAUAACUGGGCGUAAAGGGCACGCAGGCGGUUUGUUAAGUCAGAUGUGAAAUCCCCGGGCUCAACCUGGGAACUGCAUCUGAUACUGGCAAGCUUGAGUCUCGUAGAGGGGGGUAGAAUUCCAGGUGUAGCGGUGAAAUGCGUAGAGAUCUGGAGGAAUACCGGUGGCGAAGGCAGCCCCGUGGGAAUGUACUGACGCUCAUGUGCGAAAGCGUGGGGAGCAAACAGA
rnacentral:rRNA from 1 species